rnacentral:lncRNA from 1 species
GAGCCUAGGAUUUUCUGGGAUGUCUAUUGCCUGAAAGCUGUCAAGGCCUCAUCUUGCUUUAGAAAGGUGCUAUCCACUUGCUUUUGGCAGUCCUUGAUAAUUCUUUCCAGCUCGGUAGAGUGCCUUGUGGUGACCCUCUUUAGCUUUUCCUCCGUAGUUAUAUGCCUCUCGUUAUCGCACUCCUCUGCCUUUAUCAUCACGAUUGCAAGGCGCUUGGUGAGGACCCCCUGUUUCUCAUUUAUUAUCUC